AUUGAACGCUAGCGGGAUGCUUUACACAUGCAAGUCGAACGGCAGCGCGGACUUCGGUCUGGCGGCGAGUGGCGAACGGGUGAGUAAUGUAUCGGAACGUGCCCAGUAGCGGGGGAUAACUACGCGAAAGCGUAGCUAAUACCGCAUACGCCCUACGGGGGAAAGCAGGGGAUCGUAAGACCUUGCACUAUUGGAGCGGCCGAUAUCGGAUUAGCUAGUUGGUAGGGUAACGGCUCACCAAGGCGACGAUCCGUAGCUGGUUUGAGAGGACGACCAGCCACAAAGGAAGUGGAACCCGACCAAAGCCCCUACGGGAGGAAGGGAUGGGAACUUUUGACCAGGGGGGCAACCCUGAUCCAGCCAUCCCGCGUGUGCGAUGAAGGCCUUCGGGUUGUGAAGCACUUUUGGCAGGAAAGAAACGCCGCGGGCUAAUACCCCGUGGAUCUGACGGUACCUGCAUAAUAAGCACCGGCUAACUACGUG
rnacentral:rRNA from 1 species